GUCAUUAUGGCCGAACGGUUGCGGCGCCCCAGUUGUAUGUGCGAGAGGAACCAUGAGUACUAAUCGGGGAGGUCUCGGUUCGAAUCCGAGUAAUGACA